rnacentral:misc_RNA from 1 species
AAGUCGUAACAAGGUUUCCGUAGGUGAACCUGCGGAAGGAUCAUUAGAGAAUAUAGGACGUCCAACUUAACUUGGAGUCCGAACUCUCACUUUCUAACCCCUGUGCAUUUGUUUGGGAUAGUAACUCUCGCAAGAGGGCGAACUCCUAUUCACUUAUAAACACAAAGUCUAUGAAUGUAUUAAAUUUUAUAACAAAAUAAAA